GGGUCCGGACACACUGAGGAUUGACAGGCAAAAGAUACAAGUUUUCUUUGUGAGAGCUUGCAUUGUAAAAUAUGCGAGUCCUUUCAUGAUUAUGUGAUAGGUGGUGCAUGGCCGUUCUUAGUUCGUGGAGUGAUCUGUCUGCUUAAUUGCGUUUCACAACGAUUUAAAAUGCUAUGUUUUCUGUGUUUGCUGUUCGGUUUUAGCUCUUACGGGAGUUUUUAACUUUGAACGCACACGGCGUAGCUUAAAACAAUCGGAAAGCAACGAACGUGACCGCAACCUCUUGUUGCCUUUAUUUUUAAAAGCGUGGAAAAUUUUAUUUUCUUACGCUUGAAAAAGGCUUUAAAACUAGAGGGACCGCUGUUCUAUUCUCUUAAACCAGAGGAAGAUUGCGGCAAUAACAGGUCUGUGAUGCCCUCAGAUGUUCCGGGCUGCACACGUGCUACAAUGAUUGUUGCAGUGAGCAUCUAUUUUCAAACGCUACCGUUGCGGAUUUUGUGAGAAGGGGGCUUGUUUUAAAGCUUUCGGGUGGAGAAGCAGGUUUCUUUUUUUCACAAUUUAUUCCGCGUUACGUGUCAGCUAAACCUGCUUCGAAAGCAAGUAGGU
rnacentral:rRNA from 1 species